AGUAAUAGAUAAAAUCUUUAAACCCAAAGAAUUUGGCGGUACCUUAUUUCACUCAGAGGAAUCUUCCCCAUGAUUGAUAGUGCACGAUUAACUUUACUUAAUUUUUGUUUAUAUAUCUCCGUUAUCAGAAUAUCCUUUUAGGGUUCUAAUUUUCAAGGCUUUUGAUAAUGAAGUAUUUCAGGUCAAGGUGUAGCAUAUAAUUAAGAGGAGGAGGAUUACAAUAAAUUUUGGUUUAUUACGGAUUUUAUAAUGAAGUUUUCUAGAUUAAGGUGGAUUUGAUAGUAAUUCAGAUUACUAAAUUUUUUUGAUACUGACCCUAAGGUGUGU
rnacentral:rRNA from 1 species